AACGCGAAGAACCUUACCUGGUCUUGACAUCCACGGAAGUUUUCAGAGAUGAGAAUGUGCCUUCGGGAACUGUGAGACAGGUGCUGCAUGGCUGUCGUCAGCUCGUGUUGUGAAAUGUUGGGUUAAGUCCCGCAACGAGCGCAACCCUUAUCCUUUGUUGCCAGCGGUCCGGCCGGGAACUCAAAGGAGACUGCCAGUGAUAAACUGGAGGAAGGUGGGGAUGACGUCAAGUCAUCAUGGCCCUUACGACCAGGGCUACACACGUGCUACAAUGGCGCAUACAAAGAGAAGCGACCUCGCGAGAGCAAGCGGACCUCAUAAAGUGCGUCGUAGUCCGGAUUGGAGUCUGCAACUCGACUCCAUGAAGUCGGAAUCGCUAGUAAUCGUGGAUCAGAAUGCCACGGUGAAUACGUUCCCGGGUCUUGUACACACC
rnacentral:rRNA from 1 species